ACACCAGUGGUGAAACGGUUAUCAUGCUUGCCUUCCAUUACCGUGAGCAAGCGGCGGGGGUUCGACUCCCUCCUGGUGUA